rnacentral:siRNA from 1 species
UAUGCUUCCGGGGAUAUCUUC